rnacentral:rRNA from 1 species
GACGAACGCUGGCGGCGUGCUUAAUACAUGCAAGUCGAGCGAGGUUACUGUUUUGGAUCCCUUCGUGGUGAAGAAGCUUUAACCUAGCGGCGGACGGGUGAGUAACGCGUGGGUAACCUACCCCAAAGUCCGGGAUAACAGCGGGAAACCGCUGCUAAUACCGGAUGCCUUUACCUUGGGGCAUCUUGAGGUAAAGAAAGGUAACGCUUUGGGAUGGGCCCGCGUCCCAUUAGCUAGUUGGUGAGGUAACGGCUCACCAAGGCGACGAUGGGUAGCCGGCCUGAGAGGGUGGACGGCCACACUGGGACUGAGACACGGCCCAGACUCCUACGGGAGGCAGCAGUAGGGAAUAUUGCGCAAUGGACGGAAGUCUGACGCAGCGACGCCGCGUGAGCGAUGAAGGUCUUCGGAUCGUAAAGCUCUGUCCUUGGGGAAGAAGGUCUUCGGACUUGACGGUACCCAAGAAGAAAGCCCCGGCUAACUACGUG